ACGGGAGGCAGCAGUGAGGAAUAUUGGUCAAUGGGCGGUAGCCUGAACCAGCCAAGUAGCGUGGAGGAAGACGGCCCUACGGGUUGUAAACUCCUUUUGCGGGAGGGUAAAGUGAGCCACGUGUGGCUCAUUGCAAGUAUCCCGUGAAUAAGCAUCGGCUAACUCCGUGCCAGCAGCCGCGGUAAUACGGAGGAUGCGAGCGUUAUCCGGAUUUAUUGGGUUUAAAGGGAGCGUAGGCGGACGAUUAAGUCAGCUGUGAAAAGCUGCGGCCCAACCGCAGUCGUGCAGUUGAUACUGGUUGUCUUGAGUGUACAAGAGGUGGAUGGAAUUCAUGGUGUAGCGGUGAAAUGCUUAGAUAUCAUGAAGAACUCCGAUUGCGAAGGCAGUCCACUGGGGUACGACUGACGCUGAAGCUCGAAAGUGCGGGUAUCAAACAGGAUUAGAUACCCUGGUA
rnacentral:rRNA from 2 species